UACGUAGGGUGCAAGCGUUGUCCGGAAUUAUUGGGCGUAAAGAGCUCGUAGGCGGUGUGUCGCGUCGGCCGUGAAAACCUGCAGCUCAACUGUGGGCUUGCGGUCGAUACGGGCAUCACUGGAGUUCGGCAGGGGAGACUGGAAUUCCUGGUGUAGCGGUGAAAUGCGCAGAUAUCAGGAGGAACACCGGUGGCGAAGGCGGGUCUCUGGGCCGAUACUGACGCUGAGGAGCGAAAGCGUGGGGAGCGAUCCGG
rnacentral:rRNA from 1 species